UGGGGAAUAUUGGACAAUGGGCGCAAGCCUGAUCCAGCCAUGCCGCGUGAGUGAUGAAGGCCCUAGGGGUGUAAAGCUCUUUCACCGGUGAAGAUAAUGACGGUAACCGGAGAAGAAGGCCCGGCCAACUUCGUGCCAGCAGCCGCGGUAAUACGAAGGGGGCUAGCGUUGUUCGGAUUUACUGGGCGUAAAGCGCACGUAGGCGGACUUUUAAGUCAGGGGUGAAAUCCCGGGGCUCAACCCCGGAACUGCCUUUGAUACUGGAAGUCUUGAGUGUGGUAGAGGUGGGUGGAAUUCCGGGUGUAGAGGUGAAAUUCGUAGAUAUUCGGAGGAACACCAGUGGCGAAGGCGGCUCACUGGACCAUUACUGACGCUGAGGUGCGAAAGCGGGGGGAGCAAACAGG
rnacentral:rRNA from 1 species